rnacentral:tRNA from 1 species
GGGGGUGUAUUCUGUAAGUGGAAGCAGGCCUGACUGUAAAUCAGGUGCCGUUGGCUCAGUAGGUUCGAAUCCUAUAACCCCCA